UCUCGACUUGAGAAAUCAUUACUCUUGUUUUAUUUCUAAGCGCUUUGGUGUUCUACGUUACGAGAGUAAAAUGGCUGACGCAUAUCUCAAAACCUUCAGAAAUACCAUUCUACUCGGUGUCCUUGUUCUACAGAUUUCCUUCAUCACUGUUACAUGUUGUCCAGGAAUCUCAAAUGCCCGUGGAAAUAUUACAGAAGAUUUUAUAGUGCAGUUUGGCUCACCGAUAAGAAUCCGCUGCUCGUUAUUUUCAACUCAAAUCGUAGUGGACGGUUCAACUCGCAAUGUGUCUUCUGAAGAUUUGCUAAUUAAAUUUAGAGGAACUUUUCUGUCCGACACUUACAAUAUAGACGAGCGCACUAUAGAGUAUUUUAAAUAUGGAGCCACUCUGUAUGACCAAGGGCCUUAUUUCUGUUAUGUGAAAGCUCGAAACGUCAAACGUCUGCUGUUUGUAUGUUCUACAAGUGUCGCUGUCGUUUAUCAUAGAGGUCAUAAGUAUGGAACACAAUGGCGGCGAUAGUCGAGAAUUCAGGAAGCUCAUCUGUAGGUUGAUGGCUCAUUCCAGUCCUGCAUAAACGUGACAUCAUUUCUACGACACUGCAAGUACUUCAUUUCAAGGAAGAUAACCUAUUGCAUUACCUGGAAGGCGUGCGAGAAUGUGUGAAAGACUGAUAUCAAGUCCUUCCAAGAUGUUUUGCUGAGUUAUUUAACAUUUGGCAGUCAUCUCAACUGCUUGAUAGUGCGAAUUUUAUGUUAAUUUCUAUAUUAGUUAUAGGGCGAUGUGAAAUAUGAGAAUCGAAGCAUUCAUGAUGCGCACUUACGGCAUCUACGGAUUCCGAUAAAUUCACAUUUUGAAUUUGACGGUUCCUCACCCUAUAACUUUGAACGUGCAUUGUCUGCGUAUCCAAGUCUUGUAAUUUUGUACCUCUGCAGCUUUCAGUGAUAUGUUAAUGUGUUGAUGUUAGAAUGAAAUGUGUAUUUACAUAUGCAUGAAUGACUACUGUAAUCGUUAAGACAAAAUCCUUGUUUGAUUGCUUUGUAAUCGUAUUGAAAUGUUUUGCACUGCAGAUUAGAUUAUUUUAGUGUUUAACCCAGUUCUGUAAAUAUUAGUUUGAUGUAUGAAUAAUAAUUUGAUAUAAAUGAAAUGUGUAUUUACUUAUGCAUGAAUGACUACUGUAAUCGUUAAGACAAAAUCCUUGUUUGAUUGCUUUGUAAUCGUAUUGAAUGUUUUGCACUGCAGAUUAAAUUAUUUUAGUGUUUUUAACCCAGUUCUGUAAAUAUUAGUUUUUAUGACGUAGAACUUUUUACCAGUAACGGGUACUUUUAAAACUAGUGGGAUUGUUUUAGUAGAGUUUAAUGAUAUAUUUAUUCAUUCCAUUCGGAUAACUUUGAACUUUUAGGUAUACUGUAAUUAUAACAUUUGUAGCAGACAUUUUUAUCGGGGUUCAGUAUUUUGUCACUUAAUGGAUGUUGAAACAGUACAGCUGUGACGUAUAUAUUAUCUUUUACUGUUGUAAUAGAAAGCAUUCCUUCCAUAGAAGUUCUUAUUAGUUUUUAUACUGUAUCAUCAGACUUGUGCAUUUUAAACGAAUUAUAAAGAAUUUGUUGCCUUGUUUUUAUCUCUUCAGAUAAGUUUUCAAAAUGGAAAUGUCAUCGUAGUAUGUGUAUAUAUAAAAUCUAAUAAAUUAUAACUAUUGUAUUGUA